GUGGCUGUGGCUCAAUGGUAGAGCACUUGGUUGUGGCCCAAGAGGUUACGGGUUCGAACCCCGUCAGCCACC
rnacentral:tRNA from 1 species